rnacentral:rRNA from 1 species
GACGAACGCUGGCGGCGUGCUUAACACAUGCAAGUCGAACGGAAAGGCCCCCUUGGGGGUACUCGAGUGGCGAACGGGUGAGUAACACGUGAGUAACCUGCCCUUGACUUCGGGAUAACUUCAGGAAACUGGGGCUAAUACCGGCUAGGAAUCCUUGCUGCAUGGUGGGGGUUGGAAAGCCUCGGCGGUUUUGGAUGGACUCGCGGCUUAUUAGCUUGUUGGUGGGGUAGUGGCUUACCAAGGCUUUGACGGGUAGCCGGCCCGAGAGGGCGACCGGCCACCUUGGGACUGAGAAAAGGCCCAGAACCCUACGGGGGGCAGCAGUAGGGAAUACUGCAAUAUGGGUAGAAGUCUGAUGUAGGAACUGCAGGGGCGGGAAGACGGACUUGGGGUUGUAAGCCGCUUUCAGCAGGGGCGAAGCUGUUGGUGACGGUACCUGCAGAAUAAGCAACGGCUAACUACGUG